rnacentral:tRNA from 1 species
GAGGGUAUAGCUCAGUGGUAGGGCACACGUUUAGCAUAGAUGAAGUCCUGGGUUCAAUCUCCAGUACUGUCA